UUUUUUCCUUAACUUUUGUUUCUAUUGUGUUCUGUUGGGCCGUUGGGUGCCCACAAGAGGGUUCGAAACCUGAACCUCGUCGAAACAUAAGGCUGUUGAACCCUUGAAGGCUAACUAUAUAAAAGAGUUUUCUUGAUUGGGUCAAUCUGAAGACCCACUUGACAUCAAGAAGCGUUACCUUGAUCUGAAUAGUCUGCAAGCUAGAGAAGAAUCGGCCAUUAGGCAAGCAGAAGCUGAGGCAGAGAGAAAAGGUGUGGGUGUAAUUAGCGUGGCCCAGAAUAUUUUUGAGGCCUUGUCUAAAACGUAUGUUCUUAACCCUUUUUCUCGUAAGGAUCUGAUCAUUAAGAAAUUCGGUAGCAGUUGUAUGAUGUUACUAUUAUUAUUUGUUGCAUUUUAUUGAGCAUAAUUUGCCCAUUACUUAGCCAAUGAGCUCUACCUCAAAUGGCACCUGUAAAACUAAGGUGAAGGGUGGGGUUGUGGAUGGUUGUGUGUACCUAAACAGUUGUUGCAAUUUGCAGUCAUUGGUAUAGUUAUCUUCGGUAGUUACUAAAUCUACAA